UCAUAAGUGGAAGAGAGAAAAGGAGAAAUUGAAUGAUCUUUGUUCAUUUUUCUUUCUAUUAUGACCCAGAAAAAGACAUAUGGAGGGAUCGGAUUGGAGGAAAAGGGCAGAGUGGAAUUUGGAACUUCCUUUCAAGUGGGAGAUGAACCAGGGCCAACGGAGGACGGCUGCCUGCUGACAGCUGCCAUUUCCACAGACUCACUGGGCCAAAGUGAUAGCCAACACUGAGAAGAAGAAUCCAGUGUCCAGAUUUUUCAAAGGGCUGCAGAAGUCUUGUUCUGCUGGAUAUAUAUUUUUAAGUUAGAGCUUGUUGAACAACAGAAGAUUAUAGGACCAGCCAGAGACUCAAGGAGAGCCAAUGGGGGUAUUAUGGUUUUGGAUUUAGCUAACCACUGACUGGAGGAACUGAGACAGCAUACAGUGGCAAAGCCUUUGACAAAUGUAAAUCUGCAGACCAAAAUAAGGAGGUUCUGGUGCUCAGAGUGUACAGACCAUUUGAGCAGUACUCUCCCCACCUUCCUGCCACCAAAAGGGCACAACAUCACUUCCACAGUUAUCUUUUCUUAACGUCACAAGAGCUCUGGACAAGGGAAGAUGUUGAUGGCAACUACUGUUUACCAUGCAGAUGAAACAGAUCAACACUUUGCCCCGGAGAGCACAUGCUCAUACCACUUUAAGGACGAAUACCCUGAGAAGUGGUUGUGUGUGGAGGUAUCCAAAGGAGGGCUGACAAGAGAAAGAAGACAGAAUUAGGUCAUUCCCUCUUGAUGACAGAACUAUAACAAGUGACAAAGUGAAAUUAGCUUCUCUUGCAAAAUGAAUAAGCAUGAUUUUUCUGUGGUCAUUUUCACAAAUAUUUGAUGGCUUCCUAUUGCUAUACUACUUAUUCCCCUCCCAAUACCUACAGAUCUUCUUGUGUGAUAUUUGUAAGUUGCAAAUGAAGGACUAACGGGAGUAGACGGUUUCAUUUUCCAGACACGUUUGCACCAAGUCAAAUGUUUUCACAUACAUUCCAGGGAAACGUUCUCCCUCUGUUGCAUUUUUACUUAUUACACUAGCUCAGAUCAUUUCAAAGGAGUAUCCCAAAACUCAGUUAAUGUUGCUUUCACAUAACCUUAAAACUCCACAGUCUGACACUUAAUAAGAACACAAAAUAAAAU
ensembl:lncRNA